GGGAGAAGCAGGCUUCCGCCGAGUAGGGAGCCCGAUGCAGGGCUUGAUCCCAGGACCCUGGGACCAUGACCUGAGCUGAAGGCAGAUGCUUAACGACUGAGCCACCCAGGCGCCCCAGAUGACCUUUCCUGGUUGGUGCCCAAGUGUAGCCACUCUGACUUCCUUAGCCCUGAUGAUUUUUGUAGGCGCACUUUAUGUCCUUUGUGUAUAUUCACUGAUUUAACUCACAAUAACCCUAUGAAAGAUAGUAUUAUUGUUCUCAUAUAAAAGAUGACGAAUAGUGUUCUGCUAAGGGCAACUGAUGCUGGGCAUGGGGAGUCAAGUGGAACAAGACAGGAGAGGGUCAUGGGCACACAUGUUUAUACCAAAUUAUUCUUCUGUGUACGUAGCAAGAAACAUUUUCUUUUUAAAUAGCCUCCAUGCCCAAUUUGGGGCUUGAACUCAUGACCCUGAGAUUCAGAGUUGCAUGCUCUACCCUCUGAGCCAGCCAGGCACCGACCCCUCUUUUUUAAAAAACAACUUUAAAAGGAAAUAAAGAAUUUCUUUUUCUUUCUUUCCCUCCUUUCUUCCUUCCUUCCUUCCUUCCUUCUUCUUUCUUUCUUUCCUUUCUUUCAGAGAGAAAGCAUGAGUGGGAGGGGCAGAAGGAGGAGAGAAUCUCAAGCCGACUCCAUGCUGAGUGCAGAGCCAGAUGCACAGCUUGAUCUCAUGACCCUGAGAUCAUGACCUGAGCUGAAAUCAAGAGUUGAACACUUAACUGACUGAGCCACCCAGGUGCCCUGGAAAUAAAGAAUUUCAACGAAUAAAGUUUGAAUCGCUGGGAAGAGGUAGGCCUUCAGGAGGAGCCCAAGCAUACAAGCCCCCUGGAGCAGCACUUCUUGAGGGUUCCCUGGUCCCAGCUUUGGAACUCGGGCUGGCAUUGCAGACCAUUUCACCGCAGACUGUGGCACUGACUGAUGUAGGAAAGAUAGGGUUCGAAGCUGAAGACCAAGAAAGAAUUCUUGAGACAUCUUUGGUGCAAAAAGGUGGGUUUUAUCAAAGCACAGGGACAGGAUCCGUGGGCAGAAAGAGCUGCACUGGAGGCAGGAGUGGCCCACUAUAUACUAUCAAGUUGGGAGGGGGUCAGAGAUAGCCUAAGUCUCUAAGGAAUUUCGGAAGCAAGGUUUCCAGGACCUCGAGGGGGGUAGCUA
rnacentral:lncRNA from 1 species